UCAAUGGUUUCUCUUUUCUCCUCAUUGUUGAUUUUAUUCUUGAUCAUAAUGGAGUGCCAUUGUUGAUCUAUUUCUUCUCUUUUCAAUCUUUAACAACGAGGUAAUGCUCCUUUCCUUGGUUUUCUUUCAUGCUUCGAGGGCAAGUGCUUUUUUGUUAAUGGUUUCAUUGAUUUAUCAAUCUAUUGAAAAGGAUUUUAUGAGUUGAAAUUGAUUUUCGGAGUUAAUUAUUGAGCUAUUUUCUUGAGGUGUUUAUGAGGUUUUCUUAAUUGAAUUGAGAUUUUUUUGGGAUGAUUAUUACCACUUUAAAACAAAUUUUCAUGUUCUUUUGAUUUGGAUAUCGAUUUAUUGAAACAAGCUUAAUUUUGGCAUUUUUCGAGAAUCGGAGAAUUAAGAGUUGUAGAGGUUCAAUUGUGCGGUUCUAGUUGGAUUAGAUAUUGAUUCUAGGUGUUGUCGAUCACUUUUGUUGAGGAUAAGUGAUGCCAAUCGGAUCGAAGGUUACGAGGAGUUGUUUUGAUAAGGACUUCGGUGCUCAAUCUAUUAGAUUUUGAGGUGGAGUUGUGCAUUGUGUUUUGGUGAGCGUUUGAGUAGAGUUUGGAAGCAUUUUCGGUUACUGGACAACAAGAGGAAUAGAAUCGAGUCGGAGAUGAGGGGCUAGCAUCGAAAGUGAUCAAGCAAGGCAAAAGUUCAAGAGAAGUGUAUGUGGUUUUCGAAAAAUAAAUGGUGGCAAUGUGGGAGACAUUUUGAGACUUAGACAAUUGAUGUUAUGUUGAUUUGUAAUAAUUGCACUUAUUCUAUGGGUGUUGAUUUUGUGUUUGGAGAUUUGCCGAUGAUUUGAUUUGUUAUUU